rnacentral:rRNA from 1 species
AGAGUUUGAUCCUGGCUCAGAAUGAACGUUGGCGGGUGGAUAGGCAUGCAAGUCGCGCGAUAUCUGUAGCAAUACAGUGAAAGCGGCGAAAGGGACAGUAAUGUAUGGGUACCUACCCCGAGGUUUGGGAUAGCGGCGGGAAACUGCCGGUAAUACCAGAUAAUAUCUCCGGAUCAAAGGUGUGAUUCCGCCCUGGGAUGGGCCCAUAUGCUAUUAGCUAGUUGGUGUGGUAACGGCUCACCAAGGCAAAGAUGGCUAGCGGGUGUGAGAGCACGACCCGCGUCACUGGGACUGAGAUACUGCCCAGACACCUACGGGUGGCUGCAGUCGAGAAUCUUCGGCAAUGGGCGCAAGCCUGACCGAGCGACGCCGCGUGCGUUUAUUUUUGCCUUCGGGUUGUAAACCGCUGUCGAGGGGGAUGAAAUUCUGGCGCCCUCCUCCCAUCAGAUUGACAGAUCCCUGGAGGAAGGGUGGGCUAAGUUCGUGCCAGCAGCCGCGGUAAGACGAACCACCCAAACGUUAUUCGGAAUUACUGGGCUUAAAGAGUGCGUAGGCGGUCAUGUAAGUAGGGUGUGAAAUCCCACAGCUCAACUGUGGAACUGCGCUCUAAACUACAUGACUAGAGGGAUAUAGAGGUGAGCAGAACUGAUGGUGGAGCGGUGAAAUGCAUUGAUAUCAUCAGGAAUACCGGAGGCGAAGGC